GCCCUAAUCCGGAGUUUAACCGUCUCAUAAAUGAUGGUGAAUGUCACGAGUCAGCCAUUAAAAUUAAAAAAAGACCAGAACACAUCCGCCCUCUCAUGAGCAACUCUGGUGAAAGCUGCCCUCCCGCCCCCUUCUGAAAGGAAAGUGCAACCAGACAGUUCAAUAUCACUAAAACUAAACCAACAAACGAACGAACUCUGCCAUGAUCACGGCGGUGAAGUUCCUAUUCUAAACGGAAAAACUGGUACUGAGCAGUUGAGGAAUCUUCACCUGCCCAAUAUAUAUGGAUGAACAGCUAGAGAGUGAGUCACUGCUUUAUGCUCACUCUUUCUGUAAGAAAAGCCCCUUUACAGGCAAAACUGUCAGAAUAUCAUCCGCAAUCAUUUCCGAUGUGUGAUCACGUUUUGCCGCUUGGGGCCGAUGUGGUGCUAGAUAUAUAAUGCAAGUAACAGCAUGUUUCUGUCCCCUACCCUGACACCAACCUGCCCCCCUUUGCCUUUCAGGCGCUCCCAUUUCUGACAGUAGCAUUGACAAGGCUUUACAGAGCAGAGAGAAUCACUCCUGUGAAGUUAAAUUCGUGCUGUUCACACAGCGCCUGCUCAGAAAAACAGCAUUAAUUGUUCAGACACCUUUUAUAGGAUAGAAUUCUUGCCUUCCCUAAACGGGAGCUAGUUGACACGGACGGAGACAAAUUAAUUCUUGCGGGAUUAAGAGAUUAGAGGUGUUUAGACAAAGAAUCAUUAACCCAAGGAUGCCUCCAGCUUGGCUGUCCGCUGUUAUAGUCACAGCUAUUCUAAAAGGCACCUAUGGAGCAGACUCAGUGACCCAAACUGAAGGCAGCGUUAUUGUCUCCCAAGGGGAACCUGUGCGUCUGAAUUGUACCUAUCAAUUUUCUGUCACUCCGUAUCCCCUCUGGUACGUACAGUUCCCCAGCCAGGCCCUCACACUAUUCGUGAGGGACGUGGGACGGGAGGACUCGGAUGAAGGGAUCAGAAAAGGGUUCAAUGCCACCCACGAUAAAAAGAACAAAUCCUUCCACCUGUGGAAACCGGCCAGCGACCUGAGCGACUCCGGGACCUAUUACUGCGCCGCGAGCGACACAGUGACACGGACCGGCAGGGGAGCUGAGCACAAACCGCGCCGGGUCUGUACGGAGCAGAGGGGAAGCGAGCACCGGGAGGGAAAGGGAGGAAUGGUACAAACACAGAACUUGGAUCUCUGUUCACCGUCUAGCUCUGGGCUUCACCGGCUUGAUCCAAUCCAGGGCUUCAUCUGUUGGAGACACUACACGGAAUAG